GCCAUCUGUCGCCUUGAGUCGUUGCUCUUAUCGCCGCAGAAAUUUUCCAGAUUGCCUGGUAUAAUUGUUCAGCACAUACCGAGAAUUGACCAAUCAUUCGAAGAAUUAAAAUCGCGAGUUUCCUUUCUUUGUUUGCAAGGGAAGAAGUAAAUUGCAACAGUAACGAGAGCAAAAAGGAUCCAAAGAUUAGCGCGUCAGCACUGGUGUCACUUUGCAAAACUUGUGACGUGGAGAUUAAGAAUAAAAAAGGCAGUUCCAGAAAAAUAGUGAGUUUUUUUACCUUCCUCUGGGCCUCGGCGGCGAAUCCAGACUUGGCUGCUCUGUUGUUGGCCAUGGUGAUUUGUGUGUUGUGCAAAUUGCUGCGGUGUCUUCGGUCGCAAGUUCGCUGCAGACUAACUGCUGAAGCAAAAGCCGGCGGGCACCUCAGGUUGGCCUCUUCUCUCCUGCCCUGCGCCCGUCGUCGUGCUGAUAAAUCCCCCUCCUCUCCGAAACCGCGAACGCACGGCGACGACUAACGACUCCUCGGCUGCAUUAUUUCUUUACAAGCGCCGUCCUUUUUUAUACACGGCAUAAUACGCCUUGUAUGGAGAACAAUCUGACUAAACUCAUUAUAAUCGCGAGAAUUUUAAACGGGUGACUCUGUUGAACAUCGUGGUCUUCUGCGGUCAGUGUGGUUGAUAUUUUAAUUGCGUGUGUUUUCUUUUUUUCACCAAAGUUGUGGUGUUUUGUUUACAUAUAUGUUGAAUUAAGAUUUUUCAUCGCUUUCUAAAAAUUUAAUCCAACUCGUAUUUUUGGAAGUGUGACGUUAACACUUGACAACACCAUAUUAAGUAAAAAAACAAUAGCUCCUUCCUAAUAAUGAGAAGCACACAGAAAUUAUUUUAUAAUCAUCCUUAGAUAAAGUAACAUAGUCUCAAAAUUAAUGUUUAGUAUUUAAUAAACAAGAAUCUAUAAUAUUAUAAAUUUUUUAAUUUAAUGGUUUAUAUAUAAAAUUAAAUCAGUAUAGGUAAAUUAUUAAUUUUUAUUACAAAUAAAUAAGUUUCUGUAUAGGUUCUUGAAGUUGUUUUUGUGGAACCUUUUGGCACUUGAGGUGGUCA